rnacentral:piRNA from 1 species
CAGGUUAUUUCAGUUCCCAGUGAGCA